rnacentral:rRNA from 1 species
AGAGUUUGAUCAUGGCUCAGGAUGAACGCUAGCUACAGGCUUAACACAUGCAAGUCGAGGGGCAUCAUGCGGAUUGCUUGCGAUCCGUGAUGGCGACCGGCGCACGGGUGAGUAAGGCGUAUCCAACCUUCCCGCUGCUGGGGGAUAACCCGGUGAAAGCCGGACUAAUACCCCAUAAUCCCCGUUGACGGCAUCCGAUUCGGGGCAAAGUUUUUUUUCGGCAGCGGAUGGGGAUGCGUCCGAUUAGUUAGUUGGUGAGGUAACGGCUCACCAAGGCUUUGAUCGGUAGGGGUUCUGAGAGGAAGGCCCCCCACAUUGGGACUGAGACACGGCCCAAACUCCUACGGGAGGCAGCAGUGAGGAAUAUUGGUCAAUGGGCGUAAGCCUGAACCAGCCAAGUAGCGUGGAGGACGACUGCCCUAUGGGUUGUAAACUCCUUUUAUGCGGGGAUAAAAUGUUUCACGUGUGAGAUAUUGCAGGUACCGCAUGAAUAAGGACCGGCUAAUUCCGUGCCAGCAGCCGCGGUAAUACGGAAGGUCCGGGCGUUAUCCGGAUUUAUUGGGUUUAAAGGGAGCGCAGACUGCUUGUCAAGCGUGCAGUGAAACGCCGUGGCCCAACCACGGUCCUGCUGCGCGAACUGGCUUGCUUGAGUGGGCCGUAGGUACGCGGAAUUCGUGGUGUAGCGGUGAAAUGCUUAGAUAUCACGAGGAACUCCGAUUGCGAAGGCAGCGUACCAUAUCCCAACUGACGUUUAGGCUCGAAGGUGCGGGUAUCGAACAGGAUUAGAUACCCUGGUAGUCCGCACAGUAAACCAUGGAUGCUCGCUGUCGGCGAUAAAUUGCCGGUGGCCUAGCGAAAGCGUUAAGCAUCCCACCUGGGGAGUACGCCGGCAACGGUGAAACUCAAAGGAAUUGACGGGGGCCCGCACAAGCGGAGGAACAUGUGGUUUAAUUCGAUGAUACGCGAGGAACCUUACCCGGGCUUGAAUUGCAGAGGAAAGAUCCAGAGAUGGUGAUGCCCUUCGGGGUCUCUGUGAAGGUGCUGCAUGGUUGUCGUCAGCUCGUGCCGUGAGGUGUCGGCUUAAGUGCCAUAACGAGCGCAACCCCUCUGCGUAGUUGCCAUCGGGUAAUGCCGGGCACUCUGCGCACACUGCCACCGCAAGGUGUGAGGAAGGUGGGGAUGACGUCAAAUCAGCACGGCCCUUACGUCCGGGGCUACACACGUGUUACAAUGGCAGGUACAGCGAGUCGGGAGCAUGCAAAUGUUCUCCAAUCCCCAAAACCUGCCUCAGUUCGGACUGGGGUCUGCAACCCGACCCCACGAAGCUGGAUUCGCUAGUAAUCGCGCAUCAGCCAUGGCGCGGUGAAUACGUUCCCGGGCCUUGUACACACCGCCCGUCAAGCCAUGAAAGCCGGGGGCGCCUGAAGUCCGUGACCGCGAGGGUCGGCCUAGGGCGAGACCGGUGAUUGGGGCUAAGUCGUAACAAGGUAACCGU